rnacentral:rRNA from 1 species
CCUACGGGUGGCUGCAGUGAGGAAUAUUGGUCAAUGGGCUUACGCCUGAACCAGCCAAGUCGCGUGAGGGAAGACUGCCCUAUGGGUUGUAAACCUCUUUUGUCAGGGAGCAACGCUGGCUACGUGUAGCCGGACUGAGAGUACCUGAAGAAAAAGCAUCGGCUAACUCCGUGCCAGCAGCCUCGGUAAUACGGAGGAUGCGAGCGUUAUCCGGAUUUAUUGGGUUUAAAGGGUGCGUAGGCGGAAUGCCAAGUCAGCGGUAAAAUCGCGGGGCUCAACGUGGGAACUGCCUUUGAAACUGGCAAACUAGAGUAUGUGAGAGGAUAGUGGAAUUACAGGUGUAGGGGUGAAAUCCGUAGAUAUCUGGAGGAACAUCAGUGGCGAAGGCGACUAUCUGGAACAUAACUGACGCUGAGGAGCGAAAGCGUGGGUAGCAAACAGGAUUAGAUACCCUAGUAGUC